UACGUAGGGGGGCAAGCGUUGUCCGGAUUUAUUGGGCGUAAAGAGCGUGUAGGCGGCCAGGUAGGUCCGUUGUGAAAACUAGAGGCUCAACCUCUAGACGUCGAUGGAAACCAUCUGGCUAGAGUCCGGAAGAGGAGAGUGGAAUUCCUGGUGUAGCGGUGAAAUGCGCAGAUAUCAGGAAGAACACCGGUGGCGAAGGCGGCCUGCUGGGCAGUAGCUGACACUGAGGCGCGACAGCGUGGGGAGCAAACAGG
rnacentral:rRNA from 1 species